rnacentral:rRNA from 1 species
AGUGAACGCUGGCGGUAGGCCUAACACAUGCAAGUCGAACGGCAGCACAGUAAGAGCUUGCUCUUACGGGUGGCGAGUGGCGGACGGGUGAGGAAUACAUCGGAAUCUACUUUUUCGUGGGGGAUAACGUAGGGACACUUACGCUAAUACCGCAUACGACCUACGGGUGCAAGCAGGGGAUCUUCGGACCUUGCGCGAUUGAAUGAGCCGAUGUCGGAUUAGCUAGUUGGCGGGGUAAAGGCCCACCAAGGCGACGAUCCGUAGCUGGUCUGAGAGGAUGAUCAGCCACACUGGAACUGAGACACGGUCCAGACUCCUACGGGAGGCAGCAGUGGGGAAUAUUGGACAAUGGGCGCAAGCCUGAUCCAGCCAUACCGCGUGGGUGAAGAAGGCCUUCGGGUUGUAAAGCCCUUUUGUUGGGAAAGAAAAGCAGCAGGUUAAUACCCCGCUGUUCUGACGGUACCCAAAGAAUAAGCACCGGCUAACUUCGUG